rnacentral:lncRNA from 1 species
CCUCUCAAUUUUAGAGCCUUCCAAUAGAAAGCUUGUUCUUGUCUCUGUCUCCAGAGUGAAGUUUGUCUCCCUGACAGUUAAUCCUGAGACAGCCUUCCAUCGCCUUGACAGGCUUGUCAUUCAUGCCUUGACACCUCUCGUUCAUCUGAGUCUGGCCUGCUGGAUAUGCAAAUGAUAGGAGGACUGAAAAUCAUAAUCCUUCAGCCGUGAUGGCUAGUAUGUCAACGUCACUAUUCUUGGAACAAGCCAUUUUUACCAGAGAUGUCUCCAAGAGCACCAGCAACCCCAGCUAUCUGGAUCUGAAGUGGAUAUGCUCAGCGGCAUCCUGGCCCACCCCACCCCCCACCCCAGAGAAGAUGCUGCUGCUCUCAGAAGAUGCCAGAGCUAGCCACCACCCACACUGCAAGUCUGGAAGCUCUGCAAGGACCCAGCAAGGCAGCCUGCUCAGUGAAGGCUUUGUCUCCUGUGGCAGGAAGCGCAACAUUAAGAACAAGAACCCUGGGCUGGACUACCCUUGAGAUUUAAUGACCAGAGCUGAGACCCCCAAGACCACAAUGACUAUGGAGGGCUGUCAUCACCUUGCCU